rnacentral:lncRNA from 1 species
ACUGUUUUGUUGUAUAUAUUAUUAUUCUUAUAGUAUAUUUUGCAUAUUUUGUUUUGUUGUAUAUAUUAUUAUUGUUUAUUGUUUAUAGCACACUGUACACUGUAUAUAUACACUAUGUAUAUAUUGGAUUCUAUUUAUGUGUUUUAAGUGUUUUAUUUGCGGACCCACUACUGCUGUAACAAAAUAAUUUCCCAGUCUGGGAUCAUUAAAGUAAUUCUAUCUAUCUAUCUAUCUAUCUAUCUAUCUAUCUAUCUAUCUAUCUAUCUAUCUAUCUAUCUAUCUAUCUAUCUAUUACAUACAUGUAGACAUAUGUUUAAUUUACUUCUACUUGUACUUUUGAUACUUAAGUACAUUUAGUAUCAGGUACUUUAAGGCUUUCACUCAGUUACUAAUUGUAUGGGUGACUUAUUUUAACAGGAAAUCUUUACUUUUACUCCCAUGUGAGUUUUGGGUACUUUACUCAACACUGCUGUUUGCUCAUUCACAGCAGAGCUUAAGGAAAAAUACACACGAAGGUCUAAUUUUAUUGACAAAAAUCGUCACUCACAUUUGCAAAUCUUGUUUUGCAGUGUUGUGCAGUCACUUGAUGUUCACCCAGUUAUUGUGUCUCCUUUCAGGUGAGCAGGCUGUAUUCCCACGAGAAAGAAGAACAGCAGUCCUGAGAAUUUCUUGGACUUUGCAUGUUUCCACCUCAACCGGGACACUGAAACCAGCAGGAAGGAAGUGAAACUCAGAGCAAAGCUGCAAAUAAAUAUGCAAGAGACAGGAUAAAGAGCUGGAGGAAAGGUGGAGAGUGAGAGACGGAGAAAGAGAGUUUCUAAGGAUGAAUAAAACGGAGGUAAGUCCAGCAACACCACUGACAUGAGCCAAAAGCACUUACUGACCCUCUCUCACACACACACACACGCACACACGCACGCACGCACACACACACACACACCACCCCUCUUUUUCUCCCCACCCGUGCUUCAUCUUUUAAAGAGGAAGUGGUCUGAACUGUUGCUUCUUUCUCAGGAUUUAGUUUCCACAAUGCAUGUCACAUGUUCCCGUUAAGAGCUGAUGUGUCGACACAUAUGCUUUUUCCGAAAAACUUACCAACUUCUUCAUUGAGGGCUGAUAACAACACACCACAGUCAUGUUCACGUCUCAUGUCAAUCCAACCCUGAGAAAUAUGGUCACAUAACGACUUCUCUAAAGACUGCUGCAUGCUGAAUAUUUUGACCAUACAAUCUGUGUUUUCACCGUCAUUUACCAUACACAUUUAUACUGACUUUAUAUCAGAACAUCU